rnacentral:rRNA from 1 species
GACGAACGCUGGCGGCGUGCUUAACACAUGCAAGUCGAACGGAAAGGCCCCUUUGGGGGUACUCGAGUGGCGAACGGGUGAGUAAUACAUGGGUAACCUGCCCUUGACUUGGGGAUAACCUCAGGAAACUGGGGCUAAUACCCGAUAGGAAUCCUGGUUGCAUGGGGGGGGUUGGCAAGAUUCGUCGGCUUUGGAUGGACUCGCGGCCUAUCAGCUUGUUGGUGGGGUGGUGGCUUACCAAGCCACUGACGGGUAGACGGCCUGUGAGGGCGACCGGCCACAUUGGGACUGAGAGGCGGCCCAGACUCCUACGGGAGGAAGCAGUGGGGAAUAUUGCACCAGGGGCGGAAGCCUGAUGCAGCAAGGCCGCGUGCGGGAUGACGGCCUUCGGGUUGUAAACCGCUUUCAGCAGGGGCGAAGCUUGUGGUGACGGUACCUGCAGAAGAAGCACCGGCUAACUACGUG